rnacentral:misc_RNA from 1 species
GGAAGCCUUUGAAAAGAAGCUUGAAGCUUCAAGACCCAUGUCUCCUAAGUCCCUCACCUCUCAGAGUCUUAUCCUUACGUCCUUUCUCUCUUUCACAUCUCUCCAUCCAUCUCCACUGCGAUUGGAGAUUCCAUGGCUCCACGGUUCCACCUCAUGUUGAACCAAUGGAGAUGCUGCGCAUGUUGAAUUGAUGGGCGAAGACUGGAUAUGAUGUGAAUGUUGAAUUGAAGAUGGCUCUCAACCUAACGAAGGUGGCAGACACUAGAGAGGCAAGCGUUGGAGACAUAUGCAUCUCUGAAUCUGAUGAAGAUGGCACUGUAAUAUGGGUUCAGAGUCUAUACAAUGUUUCUUGACCCUUUCAAUUGGAAUAUGGGUUAGUGUGUGUCUGUUUAUUUUUAAUUACAGUUAUUCCUUUCAAACUUUUUGGGUCUUAUCUUGUGAAUGUGAUUUUGAAAUUGUUACUGUUAUUGUGAAAUUUUGAAACUAUGAUUGUGAAUGAAAUU